CUUUCCUGAACAGGAUUGGAUAAGGUUACCUGACUUAAGGAUAUCGUAAGGUGUCCUGACCAGGUUCAGGUCAGGAAUGAGUCAGGUUCCCUAAAUAAGGAAUCCUGAUCCGCUUCUGAUCAGGGUUUGAGAUCAAAUAGGGCAUCCUGAAAAUUUUUCCACUCAGGUUUUUUCUUUAAAUCACUUUUUUGCCACUUAUUUAUUUUAUUAUUUUUAAUUUCAUUAGUUUGGGAGAACUCAAGCAUUAAAAAACAACGCAAGAACACCUUUGGAUAGAAACACUGAAGCUGGAGUAUGGAAACAAAAGUACUUAAGUCUUCUGCAUUCUAAGGCAUAUCCAUUGACUGAGGCCACUGGUCUAAAAAUCAUUAAGCUGUUUAAUAAAUUAGAUGGAGGAAGAUCUGAACAAGAAAGUUACUUCAAUAUAUCAGAUGGAACAAAGUCGUCUAAUGUACCUACUAAAAUCUUGACUAAGGAAAAUAUCAAUGACAUAUCAGAAAAAAAUCGUACCUUAAGUCAAAACACAGAGGACCUAAAAAAUUUGUAUGCUACUGAAGUAAAAUCAUGAUGCUAAAAAACAUAAAAAAAACCAGGUGAUUGUGCGAAAGCGAUAACUAAAUCAUUAUGGACAAAUGAAGAAUUGCAGCACAGAAUUAUCCGACCAACUAGAGGUGUCUACAAAAAAGUUUUGACACCAGAAAAACUGGACAAGGCCAACGGCAUUUUUUCAAAGUGGCUUAGAGCUAAAACAUACGGGAGAGAAGCAAGAAAAAUAGAACUCCAAGAUUUUAAUACACAUGCUAGUCAGUAGGGGGGUUAUAAGAGUUUUGGACCACGGAAAAC